rnacentral:rRNA from 1 species
ACGAACGCUGGCGGCAUGCCUAACACAUGCAAGUCGAACGAGACCUUCGGGUCUAGUGGCGCACGGGUGCGUAACACGUGGGAAUCUGCCCUUUGCUUCGGAAUAACAGUUAGAAAUGACUGCUAAUACCGGAUGAUGUCGAAAGACCAAAGAUUUAUCGGCAAAGGAUGAGCCCGCGUAGGAUUAGGUAGUUGGUGGGGUAAAGGCCUACCAAGCCGACGAUCCUUAGCUGGUCUGAGAGGAUGAUCAGCCACACUGGGACUGAGACACGGCCCAGACUCCUACGGGAGGCAGCAGUGGGGAAUAUUGGACAAUGGGCGAAAGCCUGAUCCAGCAAUGCCGCGUGAGUGAUGAAGGCCUUAGGGUUGUAAAGCUCUUUUACCAGGGAUGAUAAUGACAGUACCUGGAGAAUAAGCUCCGGCUAACUCCGUG